rnacentral:rRNA from 1 species
AUUUCGGAGGUUGUGACCUUGAGGAGUGGCUUCCGGAACUCACGCGAUAAGUCCCCCGCCUGGGGAGUACGGCUGCUAGGUUAAAACUCAAAUGAAUUGACGGGGGCCCGCACAAGCGGUGGAGCAUGUGGUUUAAUUCGAUGCAACGCGAAGAUCCUUACCUGCUCUUGACAUCCAGAGAACUUAGCAGAGAUGCUUUGGUGCCUUCGGGAACUCUGAGACAGGUGCUGCAUGGCUGUCGUCAGCUCGUGUUGUGAAAUGUUGGGUUAAGUCCCGCAACGAGCGCAACCCUUAUCCUUUGUUUCCAGCGGUUAGGCCGGGAACUCAAAGGAGACUGCCAGUGAUAAACUGGAGGAAGGUGGGGAUGACGUCAAGUCAUCAUGGCCCUUACGAGUAGGGCUACACACGUGCUACAAUGGCAUAUACAAAGAGAAGCGACCUCGCGAGAGCAAGCGGACCUCAUAAAGUAUGUCGUAGUCCGGAUUGGAGUCUGCAACUCGACUCCAUGAAGUCGGAAUCGCUAGUAAUCGUGGAUCAGAAUGCCACGGUGAAUACGUUCCCGGGCCUUGUACACACCGCCCGUCACACCAUGGGAGUGGGUUGCAAAAGAAGUAGGUAGCUUAACCUUCGGAG